AUGAACGCUGGCGGCGUGCCUAAUACAUGCAAGUCGAGCGAACGGACGAGAAGCUUGCUUCUCUGAUGUUAGCGGCGGACGGGUGAGUAACACGUGGAUAACCUACCUAUAAGACUGGGAUAACUUCGGGAAACCGGAGCUAAUACCGGAUAAUAUUUUGAACCGCAUGGUUCAAAAGUGAAAGGCGGUCUUGCUCUCACUUAUAGAUGGAUCCGCGCUGCAUUAGCUAGUUGGUAAGGUAACGGCUUACCAAGGCAACGAUGCAUAGCCGACCUGAGAGGGUGAUCGGCCACACUGGAACUGAGACACGGUCCAGACUCCUACGGGAGGCAGCAGUAGGGAAUCUUCCGCAAUGGGCGAAAGCCUGACGGAGCAACGCCGCGUGAGUGAUGAAGGUCUUCGGAUCGUAAAACUCUGUUAUUAGGGAAGAACAUAUGUGUAAGUAACUGUGCACAUCUUGACGGUACCUAAUCAGAAAGCCACGGCUAACUACGUG
rnacentral:rRNA from 1 species